AGAGUUUGAUCCUGGCUCAGAACGAACGCUGGCGGCGUGCUUAACACAUGCAAGUCGAACGCGAACGGGACUUCGGUUCCUAGUAGAGUGGCGCACGGGUGAGUAACGCGUAGAUAACCUGUCUUUAUGUCUGGAAUAACACACCGAAAGGGGUACUAAUGCCGGAUAUUCCUGCAUUUCAUAAGUAUUGCAGGGAAAGGUGGCCUCUGAUUCAAGCUACUGCAUAGAGAGGGGUCUGCGUACCAUUAGCUAGUAGGUGGGGUAAUGGCCUACCUAGGCGACGAUGGUUAGCGGGUCUGAGAGGAUGAUCCGCCACACUGGCACUGAAAUACGGGCCACACUCCUACGGGAGGCAGCAGUGAGGAAUAUUGCGCAAUGGGGGAAACCCUGACGCAGCGACGCCGCGUGAGUGAGGAAGGCCUUCGGGUCGUAAAGCUCUGUCAAGAGGGAAGAAGUGCAUGGCAGUUAAUACCUGCCAUGUUUGACGGUACCUCUAAAGGAAGCACCGGCUAACUCCGUGCCAGCAGCCGCGGUGAUACGGAGGGUGCAAGCGUUGUUCGGAAUUACUGGGCGUAAAGGGCGCGCAGGCGGCCUGCCAAGUCAGAUGUGACAUCCCACGGCUUAACUGUGGACGUGCAUUUGAGACUGGUGGGCUUGAGUACCAGAGGGGAAAGUGGAAUUCCCGGUGUAGAGGUGAAAUUCGUAGAUAUCGGGAAGGAAUAGCGGUUGGCGAAUGCGACUUUUCUGGCUGGAUACUGACCCUGAGGGCGCGAAAGCGUGGGGGAGCAAACAGGGAUUACAUACCCCUGU
rnacentral:rRNA from 1 species